rnacentral:rRNA from 1 species
GACGAACCACCCAAACGUUAUUCGGAAUUACUGGGCUUAAAGGGUGCGUAGGCGGCGUGGAAAGUUGGGUGUGAAAUCCCUCGGCUCAACCGAGGAACUGCGCUCAAAACUACCAUGCUCGAGGAAGACAGAGGUAAGCGGAACUUCGGGUGGAGCGGUGAAAUGCGUUGAUAUCCGAAGGAACACCGGUGGCGAAAGCGGCUUACUGGGUCUUUUCUGACGCUGAUGCACGAAAGCCAGGGGAGCAAACGGGG